CAUUGUUAAGCGCACAGAUGUUGACUUGGCUAACAAAAUCCUAGGCAAAAUUUAACUUAUCUGGGCCCUUUCUUCCUCUUCUGGGAAAAAUAAAGCAGACACAUUAUGAUGUUUGGACACCUGGAUAGCAUUGUUCAAUACUGGUAUGAAAGAAUAGGCAUACGUGUAAUUUUUGAAUGCACUAUUUCUUGUGUCCUUGAAGCCAGCCUUCUUCCGGAACAUAUCUAUCCAGAGAAGACAAACUGUACAAGAGAAACCUCCACCAUCCAGGCUUCUGCUGUGCAGGUGUGUGGUGGUCUGCUGCUUAGAGAGACAUGGAAUUUUCAGUUCUCAGGUGCUGCUGCUUCUGCUGCUGGUCUUCUGAACGUACUUUGAGAACCGCUGCCUCAGAAUAAUCAGCCAAGGAAUUCCUUGCCUGAAAGCCCUGAUGGCCUAGCAGUUGGAGUUCCACACACUCUGCUUUGGAGACCUGGGUUUGGU